UACGAAGGGUGCAAACGUUGCUCGGAAUUAUUGGGCGUAAAGCGCACGUAGGCGGCUUGGCAAGUCGGAUGUGAAAUCCCUCGGCUCAACCAAGGAAGUGCAUCCGAAACUGCCGAGCUUGAGUACUUAAGAGGAUCGCGGAAUUCCCGGUGUAGAGGUGAAAUUCGUAGAUAUCGGGAGGAACACCAGUGGCGAAGGCGGCUUGCUGGGCCAGUUCUGACGCUGAGGAGCGAAAGCGUGGGGAGCGAACAGG
rnacentral:rRNA from 1 species